rnacentral:rRNA from 1 species
GACGAACGCUGGCGGCGUGCUUAACACAUGCAAGUCGAACGGAAAGGCCCUGCUUUUGUGGGGUGCUCGAGUGGCGAACGGGUGAGUAACACGUGAGUAACCUGCCCUUGACUUUGGGAUAACUUCAGGAAACUGGGGCUAAUACCGGAUAGGAGCUCCUGCUGCAUGGUGGGGGUUGGAAAGUUUCGGCGGUUGGGGAUGGACUCGCGGCUUAUCAGCUUGUUGGUGGGGUAGUGGCUUACCAAGGCUUUGACGGGUAGCCGGCCUGAGAGGGUGACCGGCCACAUUGGGACUGAGAUACGGCCCAGACUCCUACGGGCGGCAGCAGUGGGGAAUAUUGCACAAUGGGCGGAGGCCUGAUGCAGCAACGCCGCGUGCGGGAUGACGGCCUUCGGGUUGUAGGCCGCUUUCGCCUGUGACGAAGCGUGAGUGACGGUAAUGGGUAAAGAAGCACCGGCUAACUACGUG